AUGCUGCUCCGAGACGCCUUGUUUUCCUUUUCUCUUCGGCCACAGUUGCAUCGACCCUCAUACAGAGCACCGGGGUACUGGUUGUUUUGUUUGCGGGUGCUUCGUUUGUUGCUUCAGAGAAACAUCGCCAAGACCGUAUCGGAUUAUGACAAGUACCACUACACCUGGAGAUGUAAUGAGUACCCCUACGGAAGACCCGAACGUCUACGAAUCGUGUACGACUACAGCCGGUGUGCAUUUUUGUCAAGUCCGACUACGACAAAUGACUACACGAUGGGACGCCAAGUACUACUACACCCGGAGACCUCGAACCCGUCAAGUCCGACAACGAUUGUGUACAACUACCGAUGA
rnacentral:rRNA from 1 species